AGAGGAGUAUAGGAGUCAUACUUGCCAUAGCUGUUCGAUUUUGGAUUUCAUCGUCGAAGUGAAGCUCGCUUAUUGGUGAUUGUCUGACUUGAUUCGACUGGAGCUCCACUUUUCUUUCGCUUUUUUUUUCUGACCUUUUCCUUCUGUCUAGCGUCAGUCAGAAGCACCCUCAUCUGUGCGAAUAUACCUAUCUGAGCACUCCAAAAGUUUGGCAU
rnacentral:lncRNA from 1 species